CUCUCUGAAUCACUGAACAACAGAUGAGAAAACUGCAGAAUCUGUGAUUAGAUUUCCGCUGUGUUUCUUUGCUCGCUUUACUACAAUAAAAUACAGUUCUUUAAAGAAAGAUUGAUGGGCAGCAGCCUAGUGGAAGAACUUGUUUUGGAAGCAAAACAAAAACUUUUCACUUGCAGGCCUGGUGAGAGAUGAUCGUGGCAGACAGGUAGCAUGAGAAUUUUAGUUCCCAACAUUAAAAAAAAACCUGAGGGUUGCUUCACUGCCUGCCUAUAGCUGAGCACCACCAGUGACUCCUGGAGAAUCAUGAGCAGCCUGUUCUUACUGUGGCCCAGUGGUGUU